ACGCUGGCGGCAGGCUUAACACAUGCAAGUCGAACGGUUGUAGCAAUACAGCAGUGGCAGACGGGUGAGUAACACGUGGGAACCUUCCUAGGGGUACGGAACAACUCAGGGAAACUUGAGCUAAUACCGUAUACGUCCGUGAGGAGAAAGAUCUAUCGCCCUUAGACGGGCCCGCGUCGGAUUAGCUAGUUGGUGGGGUAACGGCCUACCAAGGCGACGAUCCGUAGCUGAUCUUAGAGGAUGAUCAGCCACACUGGGACUGAGACACGGCCCAGACUCCUACGGGAGGCAGCAGUGGGGAAUCUUGGACAAUGGGCGCAAGCCUGAUCCAGCCAUGCCGCGUGAGUGAAGAAGGUCUUCGGAUUGUAAAGCUCUUUUGCCAGGGACGAUAAUGACGGUACCUGGAGAAUAAGCCCCGGCAAACUUCGUG
rnacentral:rRNA from 1 species